GUGGGGAAUCUUGCGCAAUGUGCGAAAGCCUGACGCAGCCAUGCCGCGUGAAUGAUGAAGGUCUUAGGAUUGUAAAAUUCUUUCACCGGGGACGAUAAUGACGGUACCCGGAGAAGAAGCCCCGGCUAACUUCGUGCCAGCAGCCGCGGUAAUACGAAGGGGGCUAGCGUUGCUCGGAAUUACUGGGCGUAAAGGGCGCGUAGGCGGACAGUUUAGUCAGAGGUGAAAGCCCAGGGCUCAACCUUGGAAUUGCCUUUGAUACUGGCUGUCUUGAGUACGGGAGAGGUGAGUGGAACUCCGAGUGUAGAGGUGAAAUUCGUAGAUAUUCGGAAGAACACCAGUGGCGAAGGCGACUCACUGGCCCGUUACUGACGCUGAGGCGCGAAAGCGUGGGGAGCAAACAGGAUUAGAAACCCUGGUAGUCC
rnacentral:rRNA from 1 species